rnacentral:rRNA from 1 species
GGACUACCCGGGUAUCUAAUCCCGUUCGCUCCCCUGGCUUUCGCGCCUCAGCGUCAGUUGCCUCCCAGGACACUGCCUGCGCCAGCGGUAUUCCUCCGGAUCUCUACGCAUUUCACCACUCCACCCGGAAUUCUAUGUCCCUCUAAGGCCCUCGAGCCCGACCGUCUGCACGGCACUCUCCUGGUUAAGCCAGGAGCUGGCACCGCACACGCGCCGAGCCGCCUACGCGCCCUUUACGCCCAGUAACUCCGGACAACGCUCGCCCCCUACGUAUUACCGCGGCUGCUGGCAC